UUUAGUUGAUUUAGAGUGGGGUUCUCUGCUUUAAAUUGAAUUAAAAUAAAUCAAAACACAUAAUUAUCAAGAGAGUCAGCUCUCUUGAGAGAGUUUUGGGAACUAGAGAGAACCGCAGACGUAUCAAGCCUUGAUUGGCUGAUGCUUUUUGACCCAGCAAGAAAAAGAACACGCUGUGUCCUUCUCCUCCUUCGCAAAUUUUUUCCCGACUCUCUGUCUCUGGCGAUGGCGAUCAAACCGGAGAUUUCUCCGAUUCCGUUGAUUGGAAGUAUUUUUAAGUGUGAAAUUAAAAAUCAUCAGCUAUGUUACUUAUCUCGCCGCUCUUCAUACCCAUUGCAAGCUCGGUCUCGCCACUAAGCUCAUGACCGCCGCUCAGGCUGCUAUGGAACAGUUGCAGAAGCUAGGUGACAUGGGAUAAAACCAUUUUCUGAUGUUAUCUUUUGAGAGAGUGUCAUUUUAAGGAGUCAAAUGUAACCCAAAUUUUUAUUUGUAUAUAUACAAAGCAUCUUCUUAUGUGAAUGAUUUCUUCAUAUCUCACACAAACUAGAACAAAACUUAAAUUA